UUCUCCAAAUUACCGUGUGAAGGAAUAAAUUCCCUGUUAAAGUCACGUACCUCUUUCACUCCACGGGGAGUUGAAGGGUGUUGUGUUCCCUCCAAGAGGCGUAACAUCAAAACUCAAAAGAACAAUGACUCCAACCUGUCUGUCACACCAAACGACGAGCAUCAAACACUGGAAACUAAAAGCGAGGCGGCCGUCUCUGUCGGCACCGGAAGUAUCAGACUUAUAGAUGACCUGGAGCCAGUGGGUUUGGCGACGAAUAUGAUGUGAGGGCCAGCCAACGAGAGCAUA